CACAUGCAGUCGAACGAUGAAGCCCUUCGGGGUGGAUUAGUGGCGAACGGGUGAGUAACACGUGGGCAAUCUGCCCUUCACUCUGGGACAAGCCCUGGAAACGGGGUCUAAUACCGGAUAACACCGGCCUCUGCAUGGAGGCUGGUUGAAAGCUCCGGCGGUGAAGGAUGAGCCCGCGGCCUAUCAGCUUGUUGGUGGGGUAAUGGCCUACCAAGGCGACGACGGGUAGCCGGCCUGAGAGGGCGACCGGCCACACUGGGACUGAGACACGGCCCAGACUCCUACGGGAGGCAGCAGUGGGGAAUAUUGCACAAUGGGCGAAAGCCUGAUGCAGCGACGCCGCGUGAGGGAUGACGGCCUUCGGGUUGUAAACCUCUUUCAGCAGGGAAGAAGCGAAAGUGACGGUACCUGCAGAAGAAGCGCCGGCUAACUACGUGCCAGCAGCCGCGGUAAUACGUAGGGCGCAAGCGUUGUCCGGAAUUAUUGGGCGUAAAGAGCUCGUAGGCGGCUUGUCACGUCGGGUGUGAAAGCCCGGGGCUUAACCCCGGGUCUGCAUCCGAUACGGGCAGGCUAGAGUGUGGUAGGGGAGAUCGGAAUUCCUGGUGUAGCGGUGAAAUGCGCAGAUAUCAGGAGGAACACCGGUGGCGAAGGCGGAUCUCUGGGCCAUUACUGACGCUGAGGAGCGAAAGCGUGGGGAGCGAACAGGAUUAGAUACCCUGGUAGUCCACGCCGUAAACGUUGGGAACUAGGUGUUGGCGACAUUCCACGUCGUCGGUGCCGCAGCUAACGCAUUAAGUUCCCCGCCUGGGGAGUACGGCCGCAAGGCUAAACUCAAUGAUUUUGACGGGGAGAG
rnacentral:rRNA from 1 species